UGUGUCCUCUCAGGUGAUGACUGAAUAGGAAAAACUGAUGCCAUUGCUUCUGCCACCAUCUUCAGUAAAACCAAAGACAGUCUUCAUAAUGUAUAGAGAUUCCUCAUUGAUGCGUUGCAAUGGACACUCCCUGUAGAUCACAAAAACAGGCUGAGAAGGCUGAAGUUUCAAAGUGACCUAAAGGGUGAUAUUGGAGAGAACUGUAACCAGGCAUGUUGACUGUUUUCAUUGUUGCCAUUGGACUAAAUCUCAGGAGCUUGAAUGAUGGAGGCAUUAUUACACAGAGAAGCUCAGAAUGGUAUAAUUUCAAGGCUUCAUUACAGUGCUCCCAUAAGUAUUAGGUGCACAUUUUUAAAAUUUUCAUUUAUCACAGGGAAAUUGAAAAUUGACUCAUAAAAAAUCAUCUUUUUCAAGAUUUCAAAGGACAUGGAAAUUUGUGAAGUAUAAUAUUUUACUUCUUAAAUGCCUUUUUUCCUCUUCUAAUUCUGCCACCUCUGUCUGUGUUAUCUACUAUUAAUGAAAUUUUGUGCACAUCCUUUUGGGUGUAUUGAUAAAUUAAUAUGCAAGUUAUUUUUUGGGUGAUCUAUAUACUAGCUACAGAUUUUCUACACAGUAAACAUGAUUUAUAUAUAAUUGUAAAUUUAUCCAACUAAUUUGUUGAAAUAAUUCCAGUGAAUUGGAACUGCUAGGACUAAGGGUAUCCAAAAUUUAUAGUUUUGAGUCCAAACUAGUUUUCCCUACUAUACAGACAGGACCUCAUCAAUCUUGUUCCCCAGUGUUUAUGUGGGUAUAUUUCCUAAAACUGUACAAAUGUUACAUUUUUAAUCUUUGGUAAUAUGGUAUUACAAAGAAAUUGCUUUUCUUCUGUUACUGUUCAGCUCUGUCAUCUUCAUAUAUGCUUAAUCCUUACUAGUCAUUUGUGUUAUUUUCUUCUGUUUUUUUUUUCCAUUCCAUUGAUAUAUCAAUGUCUUUGUUACUGGUUUCUAAGAACUCAUUUUUUAUUAAGGAUGUUAACCAUUUGUCAUGCAGUGCAAAUGAAGUACCAUAUUUUAUUGCUAUCAAUUUACUAUGGUGUUUUGUAUUUUGGUUGUGUAUUAAAAUAUAAUCAUGUACUUUAUGCCUUUUGAGUUUUGUGUUUUUCUUAAAAAAACACGUUUGUAUUAGUAUCAUUUCUUGGUCUGUAUUUUCUUUUUUGCAUCAAAUAUUUUGUCAUGUUAUUUCUCUUUCCAUUAAUCAUUACUGUAGUUUUAAAGCAUUACAUAUUCAAAUUACUCACCUUAACCUAAGUAGUUACCACUUAUUUUUAAUUCUACCAUAAUCAUAUAGAAAUUCCGACAUGUAAUUGACUGCAUUUCUAUUUAUUGGUUUGCCUUACCUUCUAUUGAUACUUGAAAAUUACUGUUGAGUCUUAUCUAUUCCAUUGAGUUCUAUCUCAUUUCUCUUCUCUUUCAGAAUAUUCCCUGUCUGUACUUGCAUUUUUUUCUCUCAAUUGACGCUUAAAAUUACUUUGCAAGUUGGAAAAAAUAAUGCAGUUUUUAUUUCAUUUGCAACAAAUUUAAUAGAUUAAUUAGGAGAGAAUAGAUCUCUUUAAAAUUGAGUCUUCCUAUCAAACAGCAAGGUGGUGAACAUGUGGACAAGAGGAUCAUAGAUAUCUUCUGCAGUGGUUCCAUCCACAGCAUCACCCAAAUGCUGUCAUUAUUUCCCCCUUUCGGAAGCUUAUUGCAUCUUUGUAUCCCAAAGGGCACAACUUUCAUAUGUGUCCUCAGGAAUAGAAGUGACAUGCUUUUGAAAAGUAAUUGCCUGGAAUGUUGUUAGUAUUUCUCUGUGCUCUGAGUAUAUCUUGUGUUUUUCUUUAUUGUUGUAUUUACCGCAUUACAUUUUUUUAUCCAUGUUUUACUUUACAAAUGUGAGAUUUGUGUCUGAUAAAUGUAAUUAAUGCAACUCCAUGGACACCUUGGUCGUGCCCCAGAUAAUAAUCAGGCUUUCUCACGAGCCCAGUGCCUCCCAUGUGCCAGUUCUUGUAUCAUUUGUAAGAUACUUUGUUCCUCAUUUGAAUCAUGAGCCCACAGUUUUUAGAGUGGUUCCAAACAAGAACCUCUUAAAACAUUUGCAAUACCUGCAACAGGUCAUCUUCAGUUUUCCUUUUUAUUGAACCUACUAGUUCUCAUUCUAGAACAGGAUCUGAGUCUGACUGUAGUUGUCAUCUUCCCCAUACACGAAUUUAAGAUCUGGAUGCCAUCAGAACUCUGUUUGUGUAAAGGAGAGCCAGACCCUUGCCUUGACAUUUUGAGUCAUGAUGAUACAAUCUUGUAGAAAAAUGUUGCCAUAAUUUUCUUGGCUACACUGGCAUUUUCUUCUUUGGGAUUGGAGUAAAAAACUCAUGAGGUUUUCCUUUAAUCCACAUUACUCUUGAUUUUCACUUGUUUUCUGUUUAACCUAAGUGGGCUUAAUAUAGAUGGCUGUGUUUACUGGAAGUUUUGUCUACUUCUGGAAUGUCAGAUGCACUGUCAUCAGGGAACUACUAACUGCAUUGCCUAACCUGUCUCACUAGACAAGCCUGAUACCUAGUGCAUUGAAAUGGGGCCACCAAGAAUGAAGGGUUAUUAAACAACCUAAAGCAAAUUGUAGUCAUUCAUCCUUCAUCUUCCAUUCCUACUUUCCAGGGGUGAGAAGAGUUAACUAUUUGUGAUAUAGUGGUCAAUAAUUUGUCUAAGCUUAUAUAAGUUGAAUUUAUUUUAUAAAUAUGCCAUCAUUAUGGUAUUUGUUGUUUAGCAACUUUAUUUUUUUCUUUAAUAUUUUGCAGACAUUUUCCAAACCAAUAAAUAUAGCUUAUCUGCAGACUUUC